CACCUCUCAGGGUCACACCUGGAGAGUUUCCAGUACUCUACCAGUCUAUGGGAGGGAGAGUCAGGCAGAGGCAUAUCCAUUCCAUUCCUAGCUUGGCCAGUGGCUAGCGAGUGGAAGGCCAUCUGCCACAAAA